rnacentral:rRNA from 1 species
UUGUGCCUACGGGGGGCAGCAGUGAGGAAUAUUGGUCAAUGGCCGAGAGGCUGAACCAGCCAAGUCGCGUGAGGGAUGACGGCCCUACGGGUUGUAAACCUCUUUUGUCGGGGAGCAAGACCCGCCACGAGUGGCGGAGCGAGAGUACCCGAAGAAAAAGCAUCGGCUAACUCCGUGCCAGCAGCCGCGGUAAUACGGAGGAUGCGAGCGUUAUCCGGAUUUAUUGGGUUUAAAGGGUGCGCAGGCGGAUUUUUAAGUCAGCGGUCAAAUCGUGGGGCUCAACCCCAUCCAGCCGUUGAAACUGG